AGUGAACGCUGGCGGUAGGCCUAACACAUGCAAGUCGAACGGAAACACAGUCAGAGUUUGCUGUUACGGGGGGCGAAACGCGUGAGGAAGAGGAAUACAACGGAAUCUUCAUUUUCGGGGGGGUUAACGUAGGGGAAGUUACGAUAAUACCGCAUACGACCUAGGGGUGAAGGCGGUGGAACUUCUGACCGUGCGGGAUUGGAUGGGCGGAUGUCGAAUUAGCUAGUUGGCGGGGUAAAGGCCAACCAAGGCGACGAUCCGUAGCUGGUCUGAGAGGAUGAUCAGCCGCACUGGAACUGAGACACGCCCCAUACUCCUAAGGGAGGCAGCAGUGGGGAAUAUUGGAGCAGGGGCGGAAGCCUGUUCCAGACAUACCGCGUGGGUGAAGAAGACCUUCGGGUUGUAAAGGCCGUUUGUUGGGAAAGAAAAGCAGCUGGUUAAUGACCCGCUGUUCUGACGGUACAUAAAGAAUAAGCACCGGCUAACUUCGUG
rnacentral:rRNA from 1 species